GCUCAGCUGAGCUCUGCUGAUUCCCUGCUGUAGUGUGGAGGUGGGAUGCCUUUCUGGCUGCUGGAGAGCUGGGAAGGAUGGUGGUAUGUUGAAUUUAUUGCUGUUUUUCUCCAGUUUUAUCUCUUUUCAUGCUGUUACUGAGUUGAGAAGGAGUUGGGCUGCAGCAGGAGAGUGCAGCACACUUGACUGAAGAGAGAUAAAAACUGUCCAGCUUCAAUCCCUCAGACCUCAACCUCAAGGAGCCAGAGCUGAUUCCCAGCAGCCAGAUCUGUUGCGAAGCAGAAUCUGAGGAGAAAAACAAAUCCUUUGGGUAUGUGAGGCUAUGACACAGGAAGAAACAAAGAGUUAGUUGCUUUUUCUCUUCAGUGAAGAAAUUUAGGAAGAAAUUCUCAGACCCUGGAAGGGGCUGCCCAGGGAGGUGGUGGAGUCCCCAAGGAACACUCAGUGCCCUGGGCUGGGUGACAAGGUGGGGAUCAGUAAAAGGCUGGACUUGAUGACCUGGGAUGUCUUUUCCCACCAAAAUGAUUCUGUGAUUCCUGUGGCUUUAUCACGGGACAUCCAAGGAAAGCUGCUGUGCUGGUGGCCAGAGUUUGAGAGCUCCUUUUUCUGCUCUGUGCAGACAGAAUGAUGAUGGUGUCUGGCUUUGCUGAGCAGGGAUCUGGGUCAGGCCAAUCCCCCUCACCAGCAAUCCAGCCUUUAAAAUGAUGCUCAUGUUCCAGAGGCACUAAAUUUAGCAGCUGUUUACUAAGAGGUGUUUAAAAUUAGCAGCAAAGGCCACCCUGAGCAUGUGACAAGGAGAGGUGCUGUCACCACGGGGCUCUGUGACCCUCCACGCUACUCUCCCUUCAAGACCUGUGGCAUCUUCAUUCCAAGAGCUCAGUGGUGAAGGUUGGCGGAAGGCAGAUGGGGGUGCUGAGAAGGAGAAAAUGGAAAGCUCUGCCCUCUGCACCUCAUGGAAGAAGGGAUUUCUCAUCCUAGCCUCAGAGGAAUUUCAUCCAAGACAAAAGGUGGUCUACAGAAAAACCCAUCUCCUAAGGCUGGAGGCCUCACACAGAUGGGAUCUAUUUUCCAAAGGAUCAUAGGACUGAGGAAUUAAUUGCUGGGGUACCAGUUGUCAAUUUCUUUAGGUCAGGACUGAAGGCACUUGAGACAGUAGUUCAUGUUUGCACUCAGGUGUUUAUUAUUUCUUAUCAGUAAAACAGUCUCACAACUGUGAGUUUGGCAGCUUUUCAUUAGAAGGCACAAAAUGGCCAACAAUCUCUUGUUACAAGGUCUUUUAAGACUGAACUAUCCAAUUAAGAACUGACACCUGGAUUAUUUCCCCUUUUAACCCAAUAACUGAUCCCAAAGAGCCUGCAAUGCGGAUUUUUCUGCCCAAUUACAAAUUACCACCCAAACCCAUGAAGAAGAAGGAAGAAGAAGGAUGAAGAAGAAACCCAGGAUGACACCCUGUGCCCUCCAUCUUGCUCCCAUCCACAACAUACUAAAAAUCCCAAAACCUAAAUUUCUCCCCAAGUGACACACCUACACUACUCUCUAUAAUCUAUUUCACACUUUUGUGGAUUCCAGUCUAUCUUGAAGUCUAGGAAACUUUCUCCAUGGAUGAGGGUGAAAGUCAGUGCUCCCCUGGGGGGUCAGGGCACCCCAGAACACAGAGAAAUAUUCCCAGUGCCCUGGGUUUCCACAAUUAAUGAUGCUGGAGGUCUCUAAUUCAGCCCUUUUCUCAACACUGGGCCAAUAUCAAGUUGCCCAGGGUCUUGCUCUGGGUAGUUUCAGGUGUCUCCAAGAGCUGCAAAGCCCUUCUGGACCCUGGCCCAGGGCUGCACUGCACUCAGAGGAAAUAAUUUUCAUUUGUUUAUUUGGAAUUCCCCUUGUUGGACAUUGACCCCAUCACCUCUGAGGGGAGCCUGGCUCUGUCUCCUCUGCACCUCCACUGAGCAGUGCAGCCAGACAUCCACCUAAACCCUUCUUUUCUGUGGGGUGGGUGAACCCAGCUCCCUCAGCAUCUCCCUGAGUGCAUCCUCCAAACUCCUGGCCAUUCCUGUGCCUCUGGACUCCCUUGUCCAGGUCACCUUCCAUGGCAGCCUGGCCUUCCAGCAAAGAGGCAUCCUUAUCCAAACUGUCCCUAUCCCAGGGAAAUCUCCUGGAGAUCCGCUGGGCUCCAGGGUGGAAGCCCAGAUGGCUCCCCUCCAUGGGGAAGCAUUUAAUGCUUUAACUUUUCUUUUCAUUGAUUAAUUAUUUAUGGUCCACUAAGGUACUUUUCCUUUCUCUUUCAUUUUUGUCCCUUUUUCUUUUCAAUUCAUGCUGAUAUUCUGGUUGUUUUGUUUGGUCUGAGUCUCUCACCCAGAUCCUCUUUCAAUCUGCCUCAGAAUGAGCUCCAGAGCUGGGAGCCUUUUUCCUCCUUUUGUUCUGCACUCAGCCAAGAGAUUGCAAUUUCCUUUGAAGAUAUUUCAUAAUCUUUUUUUCGGUUAUUUUGGUACUUUAUCCCUCCAUUAGAUAUUGCCUCUUGUAGAAACCUGGGGUUUGGAAUAUUUUUACGCUCUGUUAGAUAUUUCUAACCUAAUUCAAUUAUGGAUUUUUGUUGUUUUUUUUUCUAUUUACUUAAAUUAUUAAAAUAUAUAAACUAAUUCUGAUUUGUGUAUGUUCAUGUCUAUCAUUCUGUUCUUUUCAAGUCUGUUCAUUCUGUCUGCCCAUGACUUUUUUUUCCCCUGUGUUGCCAGUGGUAUUUUCAGAAACACAUUGACAUAAACACCAUUUUAUUGUUUAAAAUAAAUAAAUAGACAAACUCUUUUACUUUGCACUUUCCUGUCACAUUGGAUUUUGCUGUUAACCUGCCAUUGCACCAAUGGAAAAAAGCAUUUGAUUUAGAGAAGUUGGAAUGUGAGAUAUAAUGUACACAGUCUCCAAAUCCUGAUGGUCUUUGAAAUUUCUCUCCUGUGAUAUGAUUUCCUCUCUGUUACCCAUUCCUCUUCCACUUUUCUUUCCCAUAUAGUCAAUACUGACUUCCUUUGUAAAGGUUUAUUUGUGUUUGCAGCCUUGUUUCUACAUUCAGCAGUUUAUCCUGAAAAAGUUCCCCUCCCUCUAAGCUCUCACAGGAUAAGGUAGAAGGUGGAAUAAAGAUUUGAUAACAAAUGGAAUAAACAGAGAAGAAUGAAAAAGUGUGAUUAAAGUAAUUUGUGACACUGGACAAAGUUUAUUAGAUCCCACAAUCGUUGCUGUAUUCCAGAAAAACCUGGGGAAAAGUGUGAAUAAUGAAGUUUGGUGACAAUCCUUUGUUAUUCAGGGCAAAGCUAAUGCUAAUUGUGAAUAUUUGUGUGAGAGAUGUCUGAUUUUUGCAUCAGCAGGUGGUGAAUUUAAUGCUGAGGUGGUCAUGCACUCAGGAGAAGGCAGCAGCACCCAGGGAAGGGCUGCUGGAAUGGAAACCUCAGCUCUGUGGUCAGUAUGGCCAAAAAUAGGUAGGGAUUGCUUGGAAAGGAAUUGUGAAUAAAAAAAAAAAAAUUUU